CUGGGAGGACCAUCUCCUAAGGCUAAAUACUCUCUAGUGACCGAUAGUGAACCAGUACCGUGAGGGAAAGGUGAAAAGCACCCCGGAAGGGGAGUGAAAUAGAACCUGAAACCGUGUGCUUACAAGUAGUCAGAGCCCGUUAAUGGGUGAUGGCGUGCCUUUUGUAGAAUGAACCGGCGAGUUACGAUUUGAUGCAAGGUUAAGCAGUAAAUGUGGAGCCGUAGCGAAAGCGAGUCUGAAUAGGGCGUUUAGUAUUUGGUCGUAGACCCGAAACCAGGUGAUCUACCCUUGGUCAGGUUGAAGUUCAGGUAACACUGAAUGGAGGACCGAACCGACUUACGUUGAAAAGUGAGCGGAUGAACUGAGGGUAGCGGAGAAAUUCCAAUCGAACCUGGAGAUAGCUGGUUCUCUCCGAAAUAGCUUUAGGGCUAGCCUCAAGUGAUGAUUAUUGGAGGUAGAGCACUGUUUGGACGAGGGGCCCCUCUCGGGUUACCGAAUUCAGACAAACUCCGAAUGCCAAUUAAUUUAACUUGGGAGUCAGAACAUGGGUGAUAAGGUCCGUGUUCGAAAGGGAAACAGCCCAGACCACCAGCUAAGGUCCCAAAAUAUAUGUUAAGUGGAAAAGGAUGUGGCGUUGCCCAGACAACUAGGAUGUUGGCUUAGAAGCAGCCAUCAUUUAAAGAGUGCGUAAUAGCUCACUAGUCGAGUGACACUGCGCCGAAAAUGUACCGGGGCUAAACAUAUUACCGAAGCUGUGGAUUGUCCUUUGGACAAUGGUAGGAGAGCGUUCUAAGGGCGUUGAAGCAUGAUCGUAAGGACAUGUGGAGCGCUUAGAAGUGAGAAUGCCGGUGUGAGUAGCGAAAGACGGGUGAGAAUCCCGUCCACCGAUUGACUAAGGUUU
rnacentral:rRNA from 1 species